CAUCAAUCCAGGUUCUCCACAUCUUUCUAAACAAGUCUCUCCUAUUUCAAACUUCUUUUGCUUCUGUUCACGCCCUUGGCACAGGAUCCAGGGCUGGCUCCUGAACAGCCUGGAUGAGGAGCGCUACAGGUCUUUUCCAUAGAGGUUGUGUUUCCCUGCUACAUAGCUGAGAAUGGCUCUGGUCUGCACCAUCUUCAUCCCAUCAAUGUCCACCAUGGGCACUUGUUGAAACAGCAGGGCUCCAUCUUUGGAAAGGAAAAAUAACGUCAAGACACUGAGUCCCCAUAACUGUCAUGUCAUUGCACUGGAACCCUAGUAGCUGACUGGGGCCUGGUGCUGUUCUCCACAUAAGUCAAUGGGAUGUGUGACAGAGCUUUCAAUGUGAGCAGGAUUGGGUGCUAAUAUUUCUACAUUU